rnacentral:rRNA from 1 species
GGAUGAACGCUCGGCGGCGUGCCUAACACAUAGCAAGUCGAGCGAAGCGACUUUACUUUGUAUUCUUUCGGGUAGGAAAAGUAGGAUUUUGACUGAGCGGCGGACGGGUGGGUAACGGCGUGGGUAACCUGCCUCAUACAGGGGAGUAACAGUUAGAAAUGACUGCUAAUACCGCAUAAGACCACAGCACUGCAUGGUGCAGUGGUAAAAACUCCGGUGGUAUGAGAUGGACCCGCGUCUGAUUAGUUAGUUGGCGGGGUAACGGCCCACCAAGGCGACGAUCAGUAGCCGGCCUGAGAGGGUGAACGGCCACAUUGGGACUGAGACACGGCCCAAACUCCUACGGGAGGCAGCAGUGGGGGAUAUUGCACAAUGGGGGGAACCCUGAUGCAGCGACGCCGCGUGAGCGAUGGAGUAUUUCGGUAUGUAAAGCUCUAUCAGCAGGGAAGAAAAUGACGGUACCUGACUAAGAAGCCCCGGCUAACUACGUG